ACUGGAACGUCAAUGGAAAAGCACCCGAAAUGACCCGUUCCAACACUGAUCGUACUGACACUAAGUUGUGUCCAGAAAAGACCUGAGAGUUGACCUGAAGAUUUUGUGCUGCCCAAAGAUAAGUCCUCCUGAGAAAGAUACUCACCCACCUGCCUGCCUGCCUGUCACCUGCUGYUGGUGGAGCUUACCUGCUCGAUCCUCUUAUCUGUCAACCAUCCUACUGGAGAAACCAAGUAGCCAACUCACUAGAAUCAUACCCUCUCCUCAAGAACAUCACCACCUUUGGAUCCUCCUGGAAUCCUGGUCCAACAUCGCUGUAAAUAAAAUUCACUUUCCUUUUGUA